rnacentral:rRNA from 1 species
UACGGGGGGAGCAAGCGUUGUUCGGAUUUACUGGGCGUAAAGGGCGCGUAGGCGGUCGUGACAAGUCACUUGUGAAAUCUCCGGGCUUAACUCGGAACGGUCAAGUGAUACUGUCGGACUAGAGUACAGAAGGGGCAACUGGAAUUCUCGGUGUAGCGGUGAAAUGCGUAGAUAUCGAGAGGAACACCUGCGGCGAAGGCGGGUUGCUGGGCUGAUACUGACGCUGAGUCGCGAAAGCCAGGGGAGCGAACGGC